rnacentral:rRNA from 1 species
GGGGUAACAUUGUAGCUUGCUACAGAUGACGACCGGCGCACGGGUGCGUAACGCGUAUAGAACUUACCUUUUACAGAGGGAUAGCCUUUAGAAAUGAAGAUUAAUACCUCAUAGUAUUGAGAACUGGCAUCGGUUUUUAAUUAAAGAUUUAUCGGUAAAAGAUGGCUAUGCGUCCUAUUAGCUAGAUGGUAAGGUAACGGCUUACCAUGGCUACGAUAGGUAGGGGCCCUGAGAGGGGGAUCCCCCACACUGGUACUGAGACACGGACCAGACUCCUACGGGAGGCAGCAGUGAGGAAUAUUGGGCAAUGGAGGAGACUCUGACCCAGCCAUGCCGCGUGCAGGAAGACUGCCCUAUGGGUUGUAAACUGCUUUUAUACAGGAAGAAACACUGCUACGUGUAGCAGCUUGACGGUACUGUAAGAAUAAGGACCGGCUAACUCCGUGCCAGCAGCCGCGGUAAUACGGAGGGUCCGAGCGUUAUCCGGAAUCAUUGGGUUUAAAGGGUCCGCAGGCGGUCGAUUAAGUCAGAGGUGAAAUCCCAUAGCUUAACUAUGGAACUGCCUUUGAUACUGGUUGACUUGAGUCAUAUGGAAGUAGAUAGAAUGUGUAGUGUAGCGGUGAAAUGCAUAGAUAUUACACAGAAUACCGAUUGCGAAGGCAGUCUACUACGUAUGUACUGACGCUCAUGGACGAAAGCGUGGGGAGCGAACAGGAUUAGAUACCCUGGUAGUCCACGCCGUAAACGAUGGACACUAGUUGUUGGGCAUUAGCUCAGUGACUAAGCGAAAGUGAUAA